UUCAGGAUUUCAAAAUUGUUACUCCCUAUGAUCUAUAUUACUAGUCCGUCAAACGGAUGUAUCUUGCAUUAAAAUACGUCUAUAUACAUCCAUUUGAGCGACAAGUAAUAUAGAUGGAAGGAGAAACAUUUUUCUAGACGGAUGUAUCCUACUAUUGUGAAAGAAAGAUUUUCUAAGUGUAUCUUACUCUAAAAAAAAGAUAAGUGUAUCAUUCUUCUUCCAUUGUUACCAUAGUGUGGUUUUCAUGUUUUUUAUAAAGUAUAAUUCGAUUGACUACUUGAUCUUUAAAUUUCGAUACCAUGAAUUUUGUCCAUGACAGCGGUCAAUCAUGGUCUAGUUUUGUGCAAAUACAUACUAGUUUUUGUUGUAUUUCCGUUAUACAUUUGCACGGUGUCGUCCUUUCAUCGUCUCCACCCAAACACAUUCAUCUCUCUCUCUCUCCCCCCUACUCGUAUGACACAAACACACCAUCAUCAUCAAUGGUUUUCCUCUACCCUACUUCCUCUAUUCGUCUUUGCACACACCGGUGAGGCGGUCCCCUGUGUUCCACAUUUAGUAAAACUAGAUGACCCGUUGCGCCAAAUGGCGCAAAGGCCGGCAACAAGCCAAGUAUUGCAAGAGUGGUGAUAGGAAAACUCAGUCAUAGAUCGAAAUAAUGAGUACUUACUGCUGGUUACUGUCUCUGUUCAUGAUUACUGUUUCUCCUGGAACAGUCUAUGCUAAAUGAUAGUGCUAUAUCCCUUGGUUGGAAGGUGGACGCUGCCAGUUAGGGCAUGCCUCUUCCUUGCUUAGCAUAUUUGUUGUUGCCGGUGAGUACUCGAUGUUUGGAACACAGAAAGUAGUAAAAACAGAUAAUUAUAGAUAAGGGUGGCAUUAUGCAUAUUAAUAAUUUCAUGAGGAACAACAGCAAAGGUUAUAUAAGUAAAGUAUAGGUGGUAGCUGUUCAAAAGCAGCAGAGAUAGCAUGGCCGAAAAACAGAGGAAGGUUUCAUCCUAUUACAGAGCUUGAUUAGUAGUCCUUAGAAUGCUAGAUGAUAUUUAGAUACGACCUUAGUUGCUGUCGAUGGUUCAUCUAAAGGCAAUGCACGAUGAAAACCAGGCGUUGCUUUGUGGUGACCUUGAAACGAAAGGCACCUUGAAAAGAACCAUGAGAUGCGGCCAACAAACUUCCCUACUGCAAACAUCAGUUCAUGCUCAGACUCUACAUUACACAUGGACUUUCACUAUACUGUAUGUAGAACUAAUUCUUUGAAACAUGUCAUAGGACUUCAUAUCAACUCACAACCCAAUAAAAGCCUAAAUUCCAAACAACAUCUCCAUAAAAAGCAAUAGGAAAAUGUAUAAAACCCCACGUAAAAGAUUCUUAAAAACAGUAUGAAGACAGUGGUAUUACAUUCAAGGAAAGCAAGACAAAAUAUUGAUCUUGGAAGCACAUUACAUCAGCCUUGAUAUGAUCUGCUGCGCCUCGGUGGCGUCGUCGAUGUCUUUGGAGCAGUGCCGGCCUCGGCAUCCAAGAGCGGUACAUCGGCGGUGUCAUGGACGGCCUCCAUGCCAUCCAGGGGCGAUGUGGGCCGGCCAGCAUGCGUGGGGGCAAAGGUCACGACCAGGAUGCGGAUCCAUGGCGGCGGCGCCGCAGAACCCCCCUGCACACCUCUCCAUUGACGCCGUAUCCAUGGUGUCACCGCCGCGGAACUCCUCUGCACACCUCCCCCUUGACGUUGUACGCCACACCAUAGCGCCUCCACGUCAUCGAACACACCCGCCACGUAGCACCAUGUGCAUCCUCAUCCACGGGGAUGACAGCCCCGAUCCAGCGGAUCGACCCACCACAAACCUCUAGGUCGCGCCGUCGACGCAGAUCAACGUCGGCCGAUGACCCUCUCUCAUCCACCAUCGCACCUCCUUUUCCUUCCUGCAGAUCGAAUCGAGUGCCGCCGCCACCAUCAAAGAUGAAUCUGGGAGGAAGCGAGGAGAGGAGGAGAGGUGGGAGCAGGGAGGGGAUGCGCUGGAAGCCAUGGGCUGAGGGGAUGUAGCGGCCAAUAUGUCUACAUACAGCCAUGAACGUGGAGAACAACCAAUGGUUUACCGGCUGCCAGCAGCCAAAAACCUCGCUAAAGGAAAAGAAUCGUUCGGUCCAACAAGCUCAGCGCACACGGUUGCUCUGGAAUGGCGGGUAGUGUAGGCAGGUUUAUAUGUUCGAUUUCAAAUGGGUGGCAACAUACGAAUAUACGUAGAAAUAUUUUAGAGUGUAGAUUCACUCAUUUUGCUUUGUAUGUAGUCACUUGUUAAAAUGUCUAGAAAGACAAAUAUUUGAAAAUGGAGGAAGUAGUUUAUACAAGAAAAAUGUAUAUCUAGUUGGAGCACUAAAAAAAGUUGGUACUCCGUACAUGCAUAGGUAGUCUACGGUCGUCUGAUCACUCACAAAGUUUGAUGCUUGCUUGUUGACACAUUAGCCCGUGAAAGUGUGAAAACGUUCGCGACUUUACAAGUUACAACAAACCACACGGACAACCGUUUUCUAUGCAGCUCCCCUCACCCACUCGCCCAACCCCUACCCGUCUCUUAUCCAUUCCAGUGACUGAGAGUCAGAGGAGAUGUGGCAGCGACACCGAUCUGCUCGCGGCGGCCAUGGUGGGUCUUGCGGCGUGGGACAGCUGCUUCCGGCGUCCGACGGCAGCACGCAUCCCCCAAAGCCCGACCUGCUCAAGCUACGCGCAGCUCGUCCACCUUCCACUCAAAGCGACAACGGCGGCCGCGGAGGACCAGUGGCAGCCAUGGCUGGUCUCGAUUCGACGUGCCGCGGCAGGGCUAGGCGCGUGUAGGCUGCUCGGCAUCAGCGGCCGACAGCGCGCACCUGUGCAAGGAGGUCCUCGUCGAAGAAUAUCAGAGCCGCCUUGUUCUUGAACUCACAGAGGAGCAUGUGGUCGCCCUCUGGGUCCUUGUACUGGCGAGGUGACGAAUCGGUGACCACGCUCCGGGGCGAGCGAGGCCGGGGUGCACGACGAGCCAAGUCGCUAUCCUGGGCUCUGUAAUUGGAAAUUUCGGGCCGAGCGAGCACAUCCGGUUGGUUAGCUGGCGCCUUGGCGGGAGCUGCUGCUGCUCCUCGCUGGGAACAACCACCAUAUCCUCAGGCGGCGGUAGCGACUCGUUCGUGUGCGCGCUGGGCCGGAGCGUCACGGGCGCCAUCACGGCGACCACACCAAGCGCAAGGGCCUUGGGAACAGCCAGAUGCCCCUACACUACAAGCUUUCUCAGAAGAUGGCAUUAGGUAGUGUUCUUUCACGGCACUACUAUCUAUUUCAUGAGGAACCACUUGGCAGAUCUGUAGGAUCGCAAUGUUCAGCCUGGCUUCAAUCUUUGAUCUGGGUAGUACCAAUCGGAAGAAUGUGAGAUGAACGAAUGAAGCUGCUCAUUUCCACGAGCAAAGAGAGGAUAGACAUGAAAAAGACACAAAGUACCGGUACCUGUUAUGGGUUGGAGGACAGAGCAGCAAGGGAAAAGUGUAAGUGUUGUAGUAAAGUAGUAACAUAAAACCACAAUUCAUUUAGUAAGCCAUUAGAAUUUUUGAACUAUUUUCUAAAACUUUUAGUCAAAUAUGAAUAAAAGUCUUCGAAAUUUUCAAAAUUGAGCAAAAGUUUGAACAGGAGAGCACAGCUUCGGGCCUAACUCAAGGGCUUAAUCCAAAAACAUGGCGGCCUAUUCUCAUAGUCAAUGUCCGACUUAGUCUAUGUGUAAGAUUUCACUUUGGUAUCGAGGAGAUCCUCACGAGAUGAUCAAAAUAGAAGACACGCUGUGAAAGCACCAAGGUUGAACUACUAAUCACCACCAGCAAGUCACCAAGAAGAAGCUCAAGAGAGGCCGAACCACCACAAGACGCAACCAAGCCUACCGAUGACAAGCGACCACCCGCCACCUAGAGGAAAACCACCAAACUUCGCCGCACUCUCACCACCAAACUGUCGUCCAAGAGGAGCCCCUACCCUCUCACUCCGGGCUGAGGAGCAUCAACCUUGUCGGCAAGCCAAAAUGAUGGAGGAGACUCCGUCACGUGUUAAUGAUAGUGGAACACGAGACCACAAGCCGCCCGAACCGAGGUGUUGCCAAUUGGAGCUCCAAACCAAUCCAAACACACCACCGCGACCUAGAGACACCCACACUCCCCGACGGUGCCCCUAAGAGGGACACUAUGCAGAAGUGAUGUGUAGGAUCGAAAGUAUGUCUAGAGGGGGGGGGGGGGUGAUUAGACUACUUGGCCAAAUAAAAAUCUAUCAUUUUCCCAAUUUUAGGUGUGGGUAGAUUUUAGAAAUUCUACCAAGUCUAGUAUCACCCUACACAUGCAAAUCUAAGAGUCUAGCAGCGGAAAGUGAAACAUUGCACUUGUAAGUAAAGGAGGGGUUUGGAGAUUUCAAACGCAACGAAGACAUGAUGAUUUUUUGCGUGGUUCCGAUAGAUGGUGCUAUCGCACGUCCGCGUUGAUGGAGACUUUAGCCCACGGAGGGUAGCGGUUGCGUGAGUCACGGAGGGCUCCACCCACGAAGGGUCCACGAAGAAGCAACCUUAUCUAUUCCAGCAUGGUUUACGUCCGCGAAGGACUAGCCUCACUCAGGUAGAUAUUCACGAAGUAGGCGAUAUCCUUGCCCUUACAAACUCCUUGGUUCAACUCCACGUGAUCUUGGAGGCUCCCAAGUGACACCUAACCAAUCUCGGAGAUACCACUCUCCAAAAGGUAAUAGAUGUUGCGUUGGUGAUGAACUUUUUGCUCUUGUGCUCCAAAUGAUAGUCUCAUCAACACUUAAUCUCUCUCACACAGAUUUGGCUUGGGUAGGAGAAGGAUUGGAGUGGAAAGCAACUUGAAGAGGCUAGAAAUAAAGGUUCAAAUGGAAGGAAUUGAAUCUCUUGAUCUCAACACAUGAGUAGGUGGUUCUCUCUCAAAAAAUGAAUGGUGGAAGUUGUGUUUCGUUCUGAUGGCUCUUUGAUGACCCACAAA